rnacentral:miRNA from 1 species
UAGGCUGAAUAUCUCGGUAGAAU